AUGGAGUCCAUGACAAGUGGUGCUCUAAGUAUUGGGUCAACUACGGCAAUGGGAGUUGAAGAUGAUGCCAACAGCUUUGCCAUGGGCACGAUCCAGCAGGUCGAAAACAAUGAAAAUAGCUACCACACGCCAACACGAACUAGCAGUCUUCCGUUUUGUGGGUCAAGAUAUGAGCCGGAGUGUGAUCCUAACUUACAGCCCGUAAUUGGUAUGCAAUUUGACACUUGGGAGGAAGGUAUGACAUUCUACAAAAUGUAUGCUCAUGAAGUCGGGUUCUCGGUUCGCACAUGGACGACACACAAAGAUGAACAUGGCGUACUGUGGAAGAGGUUUGUUUGUGCUAGAGAGGGUUGGAGAAAGGAGGCCCCAGAAGAGGAAAGGAUAAAACCUAAACGAAAAUUCAAGUUAACCAGGUGUGGUUGUGAGGCUAUGAUUGGACUGAGGAGGCAGGAUGAUGGCAAAUAUAAGGUUGCCCGGUUUGUUCAAUCACACACUCACCAACUUAUUUCGCCAAGUAAGAGACAUCUCAUCAAGUCAAAUAGGGAAGUAAGUAGUGAGUUGAGGAGCAAACUACUUACAUGUCAUAAAGCAAUGGUUGGCACAUCUGCAGCAUAUCGCUUGCUUAGUGUAGAGAAGGGGGGUCCGGAAAAUGUGGGAUGCACAAAGCGUGACUUCCAAAACUCUCACCGUGAUUUUAAAAGAGCAAUUAAGGGAGCAGAUGGACAGAUCAUAGUAGAUAUAAUGAAAAGAGUAAAAAGGACCGGAGGGAGUACUACAUCAAGAUCUGAGAGUGAGAAUGCAUUCUUCAGACACUUCGCCAACCGAAAUCUUGCAUUGAUUGAGUUUUGGGUCAGGUUUGAAACAGCUUUAGAGGAACAGCGGCAAGAAGAAUUGCAAGAAGACAAUGCCAGCCUUCAUACACUACCUAUGCUCGAGACUUGUUGGAGUAUCGAGAGUCAUGGUAGAGAUGUUUAUACUCAUGAGGUUUUUGCUGAAUUUCAACGUCAGGUGGUGGCUGCAAGGGAUUAUUGUCAUGUUAAAUCAAUUGUCCAGGUUGGUGAGGUCCGGACCAUUGGUAUUAGCAGCAAGAGUGGUAAAGUUAGAGUGGUUAGUUUCAACACUAGUACUAAGGCAGCACACUGUUCUUGUAGUAUGUUCGAAUCACUGGGUAUCAUCUGCCGCACAUCAUUGUUGUCCUAA
rnacentral:rRNA from 1 species